CGGCGACGAGGGGCGAGGGGAACAAUGGUGGGCGAGAUCGAGUAGUAUCAGAGGCCUUCGCGCCGCGUGGUACCCCAACGUCGACGCCGCGAGGUUCGCCGGCAUGGACGCAUGGCUUCCACGAGCUGAAGAGUGAAGACAGCUCAAAGCCAGACUUCAAAGUGAGCAUAAUUGGGCAAGCCAGAGUGCCCAGUUAAUCAUGCUAUCAUAAAGAUGUGCCAGUAGUACUAUACUAAGUAAUCUGUACAUCUAUGGCUUCUUAAGUUUUAGGGAAGAAAAAGGAAGGCUUCUUAAACUGGAUGGGAGCAGAGGAUUUAAUAGUGUACAGCAGAAGCACAAGGACCAGAGAAUCGUGGCAAAUGCAAUAGCAAUUCAUCAUUUCCGAAAGGAUUGCUUUCUUCAUCAAAUCUGGCUAUAAAAAAAGAACAAACCGCACGUACCAACCAUACAAGCUACAACCUCAUACAGAACAGGACAAACUCAUGCACAUUCCUACCUCUGCACAAACAAUUCUGAAAAUUGAAGAAAAAAAAAGAAGAGAAUAAAUAAUAGAUCCUCCACAUCUCCACUCAGACUAACUUUACCUUUUCUUUUUUUCCCCUAAGUUGUGCAUACAUCCGAAGCUGGCACCAAUGAUUCAACAUUGUGCAGCUUUGGAAGGACUAAUGAUUUCUACAACUACCACAUCAUAAAGCCGGCAAUGCUGGACCAGAAACAAAAGGAAGAGGCUUUGCUUCCGUGCCACCGGCAAAAUGAGCAAAACCUCCCAUGAAAUCAGCCAUUAUCUUUCAAAGG